GGAAUAUUGCACAAUGGGGGAAACCCUGAUGCAGCAACGCCGCGUGAGUGAUGACGGCCUUCGGGUUGUAAAGCUCUGUCUUCAGGGACGAUAAUGACGGUACCUGAGGAGGAAGCCACGGCUAACUCCGUGCCAGCAGCCGCGGUAAUACGGAGGGUGCAAGCGUUAAUCGGAAUUACUGGGCGUAAAGCGCACGCAGGCGGUCUGUCGAGUCGGAUGUGAAAUCCCCGGGCUCAACCUGGGAACUGCAUUCGAAACUGGCAGGCUAGAGUCUUGUAGAGGGGGGUAGAAUUCCAGGUGUAGCGGUGAAAUGCGUAGAGAUCUGGAGGAAUACCGGUGGCGAAGGCGGCCCCCUGGACAAAGACUGACGCUCAGGUGCGAAAGCGUGGGGAGCAAACAGGA
rnacentral:misc_RNA from 1 species